CUCGGGAAUUGUUUUUAGGAAAGGUAAAAGGCAGCCUUUUCUGUUACCACGCAAAGCUGAGCCGGCAGCCUGGCUUUGUCAGCAUCUGGGGCUCCAGCGCCCGAGAAGCCCAGCCUCGCCGGCGGUCAAGUUCACAGCGAGGCCACGCGCUGCCUGCGCUGCGCUCCCGGGCCCACACCGACCGCACCGCGCGCCGCCGGUGCUUCUCCCACCCCGGCCUAGAAGCUGCCUCCCUCCGCCUAUCCCUGCAGGAGAAGAAGCCCGAGGAGGCGGAGCAUGGACCUCGACAGUUAAAACAUUUAAGAGAGAAAACUUAGUGUCUUGUUGGCCUGAAAUCGAGUACGCAGCCCGGGGUGAUCAGGGUCUCCCGGCCCGGAUGUGUGAGACUUGCUUCCCCUGGGCAAUAGGCGAUACGAUGCUUUAGGAGGAAGGUCUCUCUCCUCCUAAGCCCCGGAGGGGAGAACUUCCAAAGACAGAAAACCACAGGGUUCCUGGCACAGAGCUUUCCCUUUAUCAGCUAAAGCAGAAUCUUUUCUGGCCUUAACCUGGCCCCUUCCUCUAACUGUAGGCAGAGAGGCAGACAGAAAAGCACUUGCUGAAACACAAAGUUUUGUUCUGUCCUCAACGAACUGUCUAGAGUUGAUUGCUGAUAGUCGUGGUGCAUUAUGCCUUCCUGGUUUUCGUUUAAUUGGGCACCACGCUGCCUUUCAAGACACCUUAAAGGAACCAACAACCAAAUCCAAGAGAGCUGGACAGACCAUUGAACACACAGUAGGCUGUGUCUCGUGGCUUUCGUUGUCUGGUGCCUCAAAGAAAACAUCAGAAAGAUUGUUUCUAAGCUAGAGCCACCCCAGAUUGCUUAAAGUGCAAAGCUCACUGCUGUUGGGGGUACCCUUGUGAGACACUGGAAAGCUGGUUUUACCGUGGCCCUAUGAAGAGGAAGACUGAAAUUUAGACAGUAAUACCUUUACUAGGAUUGGAAAAGAUUUGGUUAAUGACAGCCCUGUCAUUUCUAAAACCCAUUAUCACUGUGUGAGAGAUUCCUUUGCGCUGCAUCCUCGACAGUGCUUCCUAAGACUCUGCCGACUUCCAGUUCUGGAACAAGAUGGUUAAACUCAUUUUUCCCUGCUCUGCUCCUCUAAAUACAACUGAGUACCUUGGAAACUAUUCAGCAGACAAUGAUAAAGGGCUCUGAAAGCUAGAAGAAAAGGUGUACUUGCAAGAAACCUCAGGACUUGAGUAACAGCAACAUGGCAGGCCAGAAAGCAGACCCAGGGAGGAUAGCCCAUGUCUUCGGCUACACUGGUGAAGGCAUCGUGCCUGCUCCACACCACAUUUUUAUUCAAGGAAAGGAGAAAGAGACCACCUACUGCAUUUCUGUCACUCGCUGAAAAGGACACUCUGUCAGAAAAUCUUCUAGCAAACUUCAAAGGGCAAAAUCACCCCUUGUUACUGAUAAAGCCCAGAGAGCUUCAGCAGCUAACAUUCCCUGGACAGGGCACAGCAAGGAUUUGAACCUAGGUCAGUCUAGCCAGAACACCCACAAGCUUUCCUUAACUCAGUGUGCUAUCUCCCCACGAC
rnacentral:lncRNA from 1 species